UAUUGCUUUGUUGGCCCAAGGAUAUUCUUCAAGAAUGCACUUCUCCUAAUACUUGUUCCUUAAUGACAGUAGAGCUUGAUCACUGAGUCGGCACCAGCUGUUAACAACCACGAUUGUUUGGACACACCCAUGCAUUUGAGAGCCAGUGGAGUGGUAAGGAUCCUGAGAAAGCAGCUCAUUAGUGCCAAGGAACAAAAUAUUUAUGUUUUUACUGAAUACUAGGAUCAGCUUAGCAAAUUCAAGUCUAUCACCAGUUCAUAUAAAUUGGCCCCUACUCAAUUAAACUAGACAUGUACCAGUACAUUAACCAAUCAAGCAGAGAAUGCUACUGAACACAAAUCAUCAUCAACAUCAUCGAGCUCAUCAUUUGCCAUUGAGUCAAUAUUAUCUUGAAUUGAGCAUGUAGAUGC
rnacentral:lncRNA from 1 species